rnacentral:rRNA from 1 species
UACGGAGGAUGCGAGCGUUAUCCGGAUUUAUUGGGUUUAAAGGGUGCGUAGGCGGACGCUUAAGUCAGCGGUAAAAUUGCGGGGCUCAACCUCGUCGAGCCGUUGAAACUGGGUGCCUUGAGUGUGCGAGAAGUACGCGGAAUGCGUGGUGUAGCGGUGAAAUGCAUAGAUAUCACGCAGAACUCCGAUUGCGAAGGCAGCGUACCGGCGCCCAACUGACGCUGAAGCACGAAGGCGUGGGUAUCGAACAGG